rnacentral:rRNA from 1 species
AUGUAAUUCCUACAUCAUUAAUGCAUCAGAUCCCAUUAAAACUCCGUAGUUAAGAGCACUUGGGCUAUAGUAGUACUGAGAUGGGUGACCUCCCAAGAAGUCCUAGUGUUUUACAUG